rnacentral:rRNA from 1 species
CCUACGGGUGACAGCAGUGAGGAAUAUUGGUCAAUGGACGCAAGUCUGAACCAGCCAUGCCGCGUGAAGGAAGACGGCUCUAUGAGUUGUAAACUGCUUUUGUACGAGGGUAAACUCAGAUACGCGUGUCUGUCUGUAAGUAUCGUACGAAUAAGGAUCGGCUAACUCCGUGCCAGCAGCCGCGGUAAUACGGAGGAUUCAAGCGUUAUCCGGAUUUAUUGGGUUUAAAGGGUGCGUAGGCGGUCGGAUAAGUUAGAGGUGAAAGCCCGAGGCUCAACUUCGGAAUUGCAUCUGAUACUGGUAGGCUAGAGAGUAGUUGCGGUAGGCGGAAUUUAUGGUGUAGCGGUGAAAUGCUUAGAGAUCAUACAGAACACCGAUUGCGAAGGCAGCUUACCAGGCUACAUCUGACGUUGAGGCACGAAAGCGUGGGGAGCAAACAGGAUUAGAUACCCCUGUAGUC